rnacentral:rRNA from 1 species
AUUGAACGCUGGCGGCAUGCCUUACACAUGCAAGUCGAACGGUAACGGGCCUUCGGGUGCCGACGAGUGGCGAACGGGGGGGUAAUACAUCCGAACGUGCCCGAUCUUGGGGGAUGACGAGGCGAAAGCUUUGCUAAUACCCCAUACGAUCUACGAAUGAAAGCAGGGGACCGCAAGGCCUUGCGCGGACGGAGCGGCCGAUGGCAGAUUAGGCAGUUGGUGGGAUCAAAGCUUAACAAGCCGACUAUCUGUAGCUGGUCUGAGAGGAUGAUCAGCCACACUGGGACUGAGACACGGCCCAGACUCCUACGGGAGGCAGCAGUGGGGAAUUUUAGACAAUGGGGGAAAGCCUGAUACAGCAAUGCCGCGUGAAGGAUGAAGGCCUUCGGGUUGUAAACUGCUUUUGUACGGAACGAAAAGCAUUCUUUUAAUACAGGAGGGUCAUGACGGUACCGGAAGAAUAAGCACCGGCUAACUACGUG